rnacentral:rRNA from 1 species
GAUGAACGCUGGCGGCGUGCCUAACACAUGCAAGUCGAGCGAUUUCCUUCGGGAAAGAGCGGCGGACGGGUGAGUAACGCGUGGGUAACCUGCCCUGUACACACGGAUAACAUACCGAAAGGUAUGCUAAUACGGGAUAACAUGAGAGAGUCGCAUGGCUUUCUUAUCAAAGCUCCGGCGGUACAGGAUGGACCCGCGUCUGAUUAGCUAGUUGGUAAGGUAACGGCUUACCAAGGCGACGAUCAGUAGCCGACCUGAGAGGGUGAUCGGCCACAUUGGAACUGAGACACGGUCCAAACUCCUACGGGAGGCAGCAGUGGGGAAUAUUGCACAAUGGGCGAAAGCCUGAUGCAGCAACGCCGCGUGAGCGAUGAAGGCCUUCGGGUCGUAAAGCUCUGUCCUCAAGGAAGAUAAUGACGGUACUUGAGGAGGAAGCCCCGGCUAACUACGUGCCAGCCGCCGCCGUAA